UUUAGAGUUUGAUCCAUGGCUCAGGGUGAACGCUGGCGGCGUGCCUAAUGCAUGCAAGUCGAGCGGUCCUUCCGGGGCAACUCGGAAGGAUAGCGGCGAACGGCUGAGCAACGCCUGAGUAACCUGCCCCCUGGAGGGGGAUACCCCCGGGAAACCGGGGCUAAUACCGCAUAAUCUUCUGUAGCCUUGGCUAUAGAAGGAAACCCCGACGCAAGUCGGGGGCCAGAGGAUGGGCUCGCGUCCUAUCAGGUAGUUGGUGAGGUAAUGGCCCACCAGGCCUAUGACGGGUAGCUGGUCUGAGAGGACGACCAGCCAGAGGGGGACUGAGACACGGCCCCCACUCCUACGGGAGGCAGCAGCAAGGGAUAUUGGGCAAUGGGCGAAAGCCUGACCCAGCGACGCCGCGUGAGGGAUGAAAACCUACGGGUUGUAAACCUCUUUUCCAGGGGAGGAGUAAGGACUGUACCCCUGGAAUAAGCCCCGCAA
rnacentral:rRNA from 1 species